rnacentral:rRNA from 1 species
CUUAGGAUGAACGCUAGCGACAGGCCUAACACAUGCAAGUCGAGGGGCAGCACAAGGAGCAAUCUGAGGUGGCGACCGGCGCACGGGUGAGUAACACGUAUGCAACCUGCCUGUAAGCGGGGAAUAACCCGUUGAAAGACGGACUAAUACCGCAUAAUACUAAAUUACUGCAUGGUAAUUUAUUUAAACAUUUAUGGCUUACAGAUGGGCAUGCGCAUGAUUAGCUAGUUGGAGAGGUAACGGCUCCCCAAGGCAACGAUCAUUAGGGGUUCUGAGAGGAAGGUCCCCACACUGGUACUGAGACACGGACCAGACUCCUACGGGAGGCAGCAGUGAGGAAUAUUGGUCAAUGGACGAGAGUCUGAACCAGCCAAGUCGCGUGCAGGAAGAAUGUCCUAACCGGAUUGUAAACUGCUUUUGCAGGGGAAUAAAGUGCAUCACGUGUGAUGUUUUGUAUGUACUCUGCGAAUAAGGAUCGGCUAACUCCGUGCCAGCAGCAGC